AAGCAGCUCGGACUGUCCUAUGGGGGAGGGGUGGUAACCCUAGCAACAGGUGCCUUUGUGUAUCAGAGAGCCCUGCAGGGGCAAGUGUUUAGUCCUGGUUCUCGUAUUAUGUUCUGAUUUGAGAGUCAGAUAAGAAAAUGAGCAUGGUGUGUGUGCACUGGGUCCACUCUGGGUUAUCUCUUGUAUCUUGCAUGCAAAACCAAGUAAGAUGAAACCAGACCUUCAUCUAAUGAGAACCUUACAGACAAAUGACAAAUUGGCUCAGACCCCCAGUUUCCUGGUAUAAAGAGGAAGGAACAAGCAUCUAGGACCCUGGCAGAAUUUCUACUCACUUGGGCUGCAGGAAUAAAGACCACAGACACUGUUAGGUGACCAGAGACCCUUGCUCAUCACCCCAAUUCUGCCCUUGCCUGCCUGGGGGCACCAGUCUCCCAUCUCUGGGUCAGUUGUUCACCCAGGGACAGAUGGUACCAAGACCUGGCACACACAGGCACACAACGUUAAUAAUUAACGUGAUUGGAAUCAGCUCAAGGGUUACUAAAAUAACACAUGAUUCUAAGGCUGAAGGUGGGUGGGGGUAUCAGGUUCAGGAGUCCAGCGUUUAGGGGCUGACACCUGGGACUGGCUUGUCGCCAUCUGCUUACUGUACAGGAGACCCAUCCACGGUAUCCAUUUAACACCUGGGCCUGACACCUGGCAUGCCAGCUCCACACUGGGUGCCAAACCAAGCCCGAGGGAACAGUCUGAAUGCUUCCAUGCACUGAAGAAAUUGCAUGUAUGCAUCCCUGGGAGGGAAGAGGGAAAGUGAUGGGGAUUUCGAUUACAGCCAACUGAGAUGCUAUCUGUUGACCUGCAGGUUUUCCUUGCUUCACUCGCUAGUUGCUCUUGCUCCAUAAAAGAUGCACCCAGGUCCCAAGGUAGGAAGUUGUCCAGUCCUCCGCUCUCUUGCUGUGUCCUCUGGACCCCAGCCUCCAACCUAGAUGCUCUACAAGCGGCCUCCACUCCC